UCUAUAUCUUUCUUUGAAUCAAUCUUUGAUCGCGACGUUAUUACCCAUUCCCACCGUUAAUAAUAGCAUUAAUGAUUAUGAGUGGUUAUCUGUUGGGCUAGAAACGUGUUGCAACGAAAAACAGAAAAUUCAGCUUUUAAAAAAUAUUGAAUAAAUGUGCAACCGUAAAUCAUGAUUAUAUUUUGGAUAUUCCUGUGUUGUUAUAAACCAGUUGUCCGAUACAUUGUGACCGCGCUAAAGCGAGAAAUGUUGGAAUAUGAAUCAUGAAUGACUUAACAAAAUGGGUAUCUCCGUGAAGGAUGUGGAUUCCCACACAUUCACCAAGGCAUUAUCAGCCUUCCUUAAAAAGUGAG